rnacentral:tRNA from 1 species
GGGGUUGUGGCUCAGCGGUAGAGCACUUGCCUUGCAUGCGUGAGACCCUGGGUUCGAUCCUCAGUACCA